GCCAGCGUGGUAUAGUGGUUUGAUAGUUGGACUCUGACUCUGGAGACCAGGGUUCGAUUCCCAGCUUGGCC